rnacentral:SRP_RNA from 1 species
GCUGGGCAUGGUGGCGCGUGCCUGUAAUCCAAGCUACUCAGGAGGCUGAGGCAGGAGAAUUGCCUGAACCCAGGAGGCAGAGGUUGCGGUGAGCUGAGAUCACGCCAUUGCACUCCAGCCUGGGUAACGAGCGAAACUCCGUCUCAAAAAAAAAAAAACUUUAAGAGACAGGAUCUCACUGUUGCCCAGGCUGGAGUGCAGCGAGUAGCAUGAUCAUGGCUCACUGCAGCCUCAACCUCCUGGGCUCAUGUGAUCCUCCCACCU